rnacentral:rRNA from 1 species
GCAGCUUGCUGGACUGUAACUGACGCUGAGGCACGAAAGCGUGGGGAUCAAACAGGAUUAGAUACCCUGGUAGNCCACGCCGUAAACGAUGAAUGCUAGCUGUUAGCGAUAUACUGUUAGCGGCACAGAGAAAUCGUUAAGCAUUCCACCUGGGGAGUACGCCGGCAACGGUGAAACUCAAAGGAAUUGACGGGGGCCCGCACAAGCGGAGGAACAUGUGGUUUAAUUCGAUGAUACGCGAGGAACCUUACCUGGGCUUAAAUUGCAGUGGAAUAACGUGGAAACAUGUUAGCCUUCGGGCUGCUGUGAAGGUGCUGCAUGGUUGUCGUCAGCUCGUGCCGUGAGGUGUCGGCUUAAGUGCCAUAACGAGCGCAACCCUCAUCGAUAGUUACUAACAGGUUAAGCUGAGGACUCUAUCGAGACUGCCGACGUAAGUCGUGAGGAAGGUGGGGAUGACGUCAAAUCAGCACGGCCCUUACGUCCAGGGCUACACACGUGUUACAAUGGGGGGUACAAAGGGCAGCUACCUGGCGACAGGAUGCUAAUCUCAAAAACCUCUCUCAGUUCGGAUUGGAGUCUGCAACCCGACUCCAUGAAGCUGGAUUCGCUAGUAAUCGCGCAUCAGCCACGGCGCGGUGAAUACGUUCCCGGGCCUUGUACACACCGCCCGUCAAGCCAUGGGAGCCGGGGGGACCUGAAGUAUGCAACCGUAAGGAGCGUCCUAGGGUAAAACUGGUGACUGGGGCU